UAUUGUAGCAACAACAUGCAAUGGGCU
rnacentral:sRNA from 1 species